UACGUAGGGUGCGAGCGUUGUCCGGAAUUAUUGGGCGUAAAGAGCUCGUAGGCGGUUUGUCACGUCUGCUGUGAAAUCCCGAGGCUCAACCUCGGGCCUGCAGUGGGUACGGGCAGACUGGAGUGCGGUAGGGGAGAAUGGAAUUCCUGGUGUAGCGGUGGAAUGCGCAGAUAUCAGGAGGAACACCCGUGGCGAAAGCGGCUCUCUGGGACGGUACUGACGCUGAGACGCGAAAGCGUGGGGAGCAAACAGG
rnacentral:rRNA from 1 species